GCGUGGGAACAUGCCCAGAGGUACGGAACAACAGUUAGAAAUGACUGCUAAUACCGUAUACGCCUACGGGGAAGGAAUUACGUCCUUUCGGUAUUGGCCCGGCCGUUGGAUUAGAUAGUUGGUGGGGUAACGGGCCUACCAAGUCGACGAUCCAUAGCUGGUUUGUAGAGGAUGAUCAGCCACACUGGGACUGAGACACGGCCCAGACUCCUACGGGAGGGCAGCAGUGGGGAAUCUUAGACAAUGGGCGCAAGCCUGAUCUAGCCAUACCGCGUGAGUGACGAAGGCCCUAGGGUCGUA
rnacentral:rRNA from 1 species